rnacentral:rRNA from 1 species
UACGUAGGGUGCAAGCGUUAAUCGGAAUUACUGGGCGUAAAGGGCGCGUAGGCGGCCCGCUAAGUCGAACGUGAAAUCCCCGAGCUCAACUCGGGAACUGCGUCCGAUACUGGCGGGCUUGAAUCCGGGAGAGGGAUGCGGAAUCCAGGUGUAGCGGUGAAAUGCGUAGAUAUCUGGAGGAACACCGGUGGCGAAGGCGGCAUCCUGGACCGGCAUUGACGCUGAGGCGCGAAAGCUAGGGGAGCAAACGGGG